GCCAAUGCGUGGCCAUCGUCCGGGUGAAGACGUAGGGUGCAAUCGUUUGCCGGAAUUAUUGGGCGUAAAGAGCUCGUUGGCGGUCUGGCGCUUCGGCUGUGAAAACCCGGGGCGCAACCCCGGGCCUGCAGUCGAUACGGGCAGACUAGAGUGCGGUAGGGGAGACUGGAAUUCCUGGUGUAGCGGUGAAAUGCGCAGAUAUCAGGAGGAACACCGGUGGCGAAGGCGGGUCUCUGGGCCGUAACUCACGCUGAGGAGCGAAAGCGUGGGGAGCGAACAGGAUUAGAUACCCUGGUAGUC
rnacentral:rRNA from 1 species